CCGAUGUUUUCACUUGCUCUCAAACGCAACAUUUGCUGUCAAACUUUCAGUGUCGUUCCUCUUCCAAAGCUGUGGCGCAGUUUACGUUCUCGUCUGGAUGAAGACUGAAGUCCUCAAGAUGAGUGAGGAGGAGUUUCCAGCCUCCAGCUGUCUAUGAAGAGCGACCGAUCCAACGAUCAUCCUCCAGACUUCAGUAAAGAACCUAAACCCUCAGAGACAAAAAGACGGAGAGUAGAGUCUGCAGCCUCCAGCUGUCUGUCUAUGAAGAGCGACCGAUCCAACGAUCAUCCUCCAGACUUCAGUAAAGAACCUAAACCCUCAGAGACAAAUGUGGACAGGAAUCAGCUGCUGAGGUUCAUCCACUGCUGUGCUGCCUCUGACGUCCAGCAGGAGGCAGCAUCCGGCCUGCUGAGGACUCUGCAGCACCGCUUGGAUCUGUCCUGCCAGUCCUUUGUGGAUCUACAAGAGGAGGAUCAGACCGAGCCUCUGAGUCUGACUGCUGAUGACUGCAGGGCUGCAUCCAUCAUCCUGAAACACUGCAGCCGGGACACUCAGCUCCACCUGCAGGACUGUGAGGUGGAGGACGGAGGACUGGACCUGCUGUUUCCUGUCCUGGACAGGGUCCGUCUCAGAGUCAGUAAAAGUGUCCUCCUCCAGCUGCUGUCCCUGAUUCCUGUCCACUCUGAGAGGGACACAGUGAGACGGGCCGAGUCCCUGUGUGGAGCUCUGGGUGGAGAGCUGGACCUCAGUCACACCACACUGGACCAGAGGGUCUGUGGAGGUCUGGUCCAGAUGCUGGACUCCUGUGAAGGACUGACUGAGCUGGACCUCAGUCACUGUCAGCUCAGAGACCAGCUGCUGCUGGUCCUCAUCACACAUCUGCACAAAGUCCAGGUCCUGGAGUGAGUCUCAGACCACUUCCUUCUCUGGGAGUCUGAGCCACAAUAAGAUCACAGAUGCUUCCACAGAUGUGCUCCUCCAGCUGAUCUCCAUCCACUCCUCCAUCCACACUGUGAGACUCUUCAGCAACGACAUCGUGGACAGAAGACCCUUUAAGAAGCACAAGCAGUUUGAAAUCUGGUGAAGCAGUCAGGAGGUCAUGUGAUCAUCAGGGAGGAACUAGUAAAAUGACUCUCUGAUAGCACCUCAGAGGAAUGAAGCAAGAAGAGUUCAUUCAGGACUAAACUGUUUGGUACAUUCCUAGAACUGGAAGAAACCAUCAGAAAACUGGAAACAUGUUGAGGAUUUUUCACUCACAUUUGAAAUAAAGUCAUCCAAGAGAUGAUGUUUCUUCCUGUGCUGGUUCUCUCUUCUUUCUAUGACAGUGUUGUGAUGUUUUCAUGGAACAUCUUCUAUAGAGCACAGCUUCUAGACAUGAACUGGAGCUCAGUAUUUGACAAACUUCUGCUGUAGUUUUGGCUCUUUGGGGCAGAAAAC
ensembl:lncRNA